AGCGAACGCUGGCGGCAGGCCUAACACAUGCAGGUCGAGCGGCCGUAGCAAUACGGCAGCGGCAGACGGGAGAGUAACACGUGGGAACGUACCCUUUGGUUCGGAACAACCCAGGGAAACUUGGGCUAAUACCGGAUAAGUCCGUAAGGAGAAAGAUUUAUCGCCGAAGGAUCGGCCCGCGUCUGAUUAGCUUGUUGGUGAGGUAACGGCUCACCAAGGCGACGAUCAGUAGCUGGUCUGAGAGGAUGAUCAGCCUCACUGGGACUGAGACACGGCCCAGACUCCUACGGGAGGCAGCAGUGGGGAAUAUUGGACAAUGGGCGCAAGCCUGAUCCAGCCAUGCCGCGUGGAUGAUGAGGGCCCUAGGGUUGUAAAGUCCUUUCGGCGGGGAAGAUAAUGACGGUACCCGCAGAAGAAGCCCCGGCUAACUUCGUGCCAGCCGCCGCCGUAA
rnacentral:rRNA from 1 species